AGGGGGUCCAAUCUAAUUCUGCAUCAUGGUUUAGUGAUGUAGUCUCGCUUAUGGACCAGAAAAAUCCCCAUCUUUUAUUAUCCUUGUGCUUGUGAUAAUAUCCAAGUUCAAUGCACACGAGAAACGUAAAAGAACAUAA